rnacentral:rRNA from 1 species
GACAGAGGAUGCAAGCGUUAUCCGGAAUGAUUGGGCGUAAAGCGUCUGUAGGUGGCUUUUUAAGUCCGCCGUCAAAUCCCAGGGCUCAACCCUGGACAGGCGGUGGAAACUACCAAGCUGGAGUACGGUAGGGGCAGAGGGAAUUUCCGGUGGAGCGGUGAAAUGCGUAGAGAUUGGAAAGAACACCGAUGGCGAAGGCACUUUACUGGGCUAUUACUAACACUGAGAGACGAAGCUAGGGUAGCAAAUGGG